rnacentral:lncRNA from 1 species
CUCCUUGCUCAUCCUGCACAUUUAGAAACACAUGCAGGGCUGAGUAUAAAAUACUCAGUGGACAUAAGCCGGAAAAUAAACAAUCUCGCUCUUAGAGCUAUACAUUUAACUUGCCAUUUAUACAUCACACAGGGGUUUUUCUUUAAAAGAACCAGUGUAAGCAAUUGAUAAAUUAUAAGCAUCAUAAAGUAAUGAAAGAUAGACUGCAGUCACAAAUACUUAGCAUGUAGUACCGCUUCUACAACUCAUCAUCAUCAUGGUACUGAGAAGUAGGCCUCCUUCUCAAGCACCGUAACCGGCCGACCUGACAGUCGGCUCACAGUCAUUUCUAACCGGCCAACCCGGUAUACAGCUCACGGUUACCUCCGUGUACACAAUCCCGCCUUUGGCAGGACCCGAAAUCGUCUCAUCCGUAGAGGGUAACGUACAGGCUCGUCGUUAUCAAAACUCGGCAAGUUAAUUUGUUCAAACAUCAAUUUAUCUCAGAUCAUCUUAAAACUUAUAGUCAUCAUCAAAAUCAUCAUUUAUAAAGCCAGUAAUAGAGGUAUUAGAAAGUAAUGCCCACCUGGAAAUCUUAGCUUUGGUCCUCGUACUUUGGAGAAAUUCUACUUAUGCCCUUGACUCGUGUCUUCAGAUAUCAUCGUUUGCAUAGACGAUCAUGUAAAAAUAAACGUCAAUCAGAUAAAUCCUCACUAGGUUUACUAUUCUUAUCUAAGUACUAGUCUUCCUUUCUCAUUGUUUCCUUGUAUCUAUCACUCUAAUAAUACAUCCUAAGUAUUCAUCGUUUCCAC